UCAGUUGCUCAUAGGGAUUUGGGAA
rnacentral:piRNA from 1 species